rnacentral:rRNA from 1 species
GUGGGGAAUAUUGGACAAUGGGGGGAACCCUGAUCCAGCCAUGCCGCGUGUGUGAAGAAGGCCUUUUGGUUGUAAAGCACUUUAAGCGAGGAGGAGGCUACCGAGAUUAAUACUCUUGGAUAGUGGACGUUACUCGCAGAAUAAGCACCGGCUAACUCUGUGCCAGCAGCCGCGGUAAUACAGAGGGUGCAAGCGUUAAUCGGAUUUACUGGGCGUAAAGCGCGCGUAGGUGGCCAAUUAAGGCAAAUGCGAAAUCCCCGAGCUUAACUUGGGAAUUGCAUUCGAUACUGGUUGGCUAGAGUAUGGGAGAGGAUGGUAGAAUUCCAGGUGUAGCGGUGAAAUGCGUAGAGAUCUGGAGGAAUACCGAUGGCGAAGGCAGCCAUCUGGCCUAAUACUGACACUGAGGUGCGAAAGCAUGGGGAGCAAACAGGAUUAGAAACCCCGGUGUCC